rnacentral:pre_miRNA from 1 species
AGCCUUUUGUAUCCGUGCUGAGACUUCGUCAGCGAUCAACCCGCUAGCACCGGCUGAUGCAACUCUCCAAAUAAGUGAAGCG